GACGAACGCUGGCGGCGUGCUUAACACAUGCAAGUCGAACGGAAAGGCCCUGCUUUUGUGGGGUGCUCGAGUGGCGAACGGGUGAGUAACACGUGAGUAACCUGCCCUUGACUUUGGGAUAACUUCAGGAAACUGGGGCUAAUACCGGAUAGGAGCUCCUGCUGCAUGGUGGGGGUUGGAAAGUUUCGGCGGUUGGGGAUGGACUCGCGGCUUAUCAGCUUGUUGGUGGGGUAGUGGCUUACCAAGGCUUUGACGGGUAGCCGGCCUGAGAGGGUGAACGGCCACAAUGGGACUGAGAUACGGCCCAGACUCCUACGGGAGGCAGCAGUGGGGAAUAUUGCACAAUGGGCGGAAGCCUGAUGCAGCAACGCCGCGUGCGGGAUGACGGCCUUCGGGUGGUAAACCGCUUUCGCCUGUGACGAAGCGUGAGUGACGGUAAUGGGUAAAGAAGCACCGGCUAACUACGUG
rnacentral:rRNA from 1 species